CCUACGGGAGGCAGCAGUGGGGAAUAUUGCACAAUGGGGGAAACCCUGAUGCAGCGACGCCGCGUGAGUGAAGAAGUAUUUCGGUAUGUAAAGCUCUAUCAGCAGGGAAGAAAAUGACGGUACCCAAAGAGGAAGCCCCGGCUAACUACGUGCCAGCAGCCGCGGUAAUACGUAGGGGGCAAGCGUUAUCCGGAUUUACUGGGUGUAAAGGGAGCGUAGACGGCAGCGCAAGUCUGGAGUGAAAUGCCGGGGCCCAACCCCGGAACUGCUCUGGAAACUGUGAAGCUGGAGUGCAGGAGAGGUAA
rnacentral:rRNA from 1 species